rnacentral:rRNA from 1 species
CCUACGGGGGGCAGCAGUCGAGAAUCAUUCACAAUGGGGGAAACCCUGAUGGUGCGACGCCGCGUGGGGGAAUGAAGGUCUUCGGAUUGUAAACCCCUGUCAUGUGGGAGCAAAUUAAAAAGAUAGUACCACAAGAGGAAGAGACGGCUAACUCUGUGCCAGCAGCCGCGGUAAUACAGAGGUCUCAAGCGUUGUUCGGAAUCACUGGGCGUAAGGCGUGCGUAGGCUGUUUCGUAAGUCGUGUGUGAAAGGCGCGGGCUCAACCCGCGGACGGCACAUGAUACUGCGAGACUAGAGUAAUGGAGGGGGAACCGGAAUUCUCGGUGUAGCAGUGAAAUGCGUAGAUAUCGAGAGGAACACUCGUGGCGAAGGCGGGUUCCUGGACAUUAACCGACGCUGAGGCACGAAGGCCAGGGGAGCGAAAGGGAUUAGAUACCCGAGUAGUC